rnacentral:rRNA from 1 species
UACGUAGGGGGCAAGCGUUGUCCGGAUUUAUUGGGCGUAAAGAGCGUGUAGGCGGCUUGGUAGGUCCGCUGUGAAAACUCGAGGCUCAACCUCGAGAUGUCGGCGGAAACCACUUGGCUAGAGUCCGGAAGAGGAGAGUGGAAUUCCCGGUGUAGCGGUGAAAUGCGCAGAUAUCGGGAAGAACACCUAUGGCGAAGGCAGCUCGCUGGGACGGUACUGACGCUGAGGCGCGAAAGCGUGGGGAGCGAAUAGG